rnacentral:lncRNA from 1 species
AGGCCCAUCACGGCAUAGGGAUAUGGGCUGUGCUUAGUAUAGUCCAUUAUUAUUUAUUACAAGUCGUGCCAGACACGGUCCAUUUUGAGCCAACAUCAGGCCGCCAAUAGGUAGCCUGGCCCGUUGGCCAUCUUUCAAAUGAUCGAAGCUUAAAAUAUUAGCAAAACAAAAUAAGAAAAGAAAAAGAAACAAAAAGGAG